rnacentral:rRNA from 1 species
AUUGAACGCUGGCGGCAUGCCUUACACAUGCAAGUCGAACGGUAACAGGUUAAGCUGACGAGUGGCGAACGGGUGAGUAAUAUAUCGGAACGUGCCCAGUAGUGGGGGAUAGCCCGGCGAAAGCCGGAUUAAUACCGCAUACGACCUACGGGUGAAAGGGGGGAGUCGCAAGACCUCUCGCUAUUGGAGCGGCCGAUAUCAGAUUAGCUAGUUGGUGGGGUAAAAGCUCACCAAGGCGACGAUCUGUAGCUGGUCUGAGAGGACGACCAGCCACACUGGGACUGAGACACGGCCCAGACUCCUACGGGAGGCAGCAGUGGGGAAUUUUGGACAAUGGACGCAAGUCUGAUCCAGCCAUGCCGCGUGCGGGAAGAAGGCC